GACAGAGGGUGCAAACGUUGUUCGGAAUUACUGGGCGUAAAGCGCGUGUAGGCGGUGCGGUAAGUCGGAUGUGAAAGCCCCGGGCUCAACCCGGGAAGUGCACUCGAUACUGCCACGCUAGAGUAUCGGAGAGGUUGGUGGAAUUCUCGGUGUAGAGGUGAAAUUCGUAGAUAUCGAGAGGAACACCGGUGGCGAAGGCGGCCAACUGGACGAAUACUGACGCUGAGACUCGAAAGCGUGGGGAGCAAACAGG
rnacentral:rRNA from 1 species